rnacentral:rRNA from 1 species
GAUGAACGCUGGCGGCGUGCCUAAUACAUGCAAGUCGAGCGAACGGACGAGAAGCUUGCUCCUCUGAUGUUAGCGGCGGACGGGUGAGUAACACGUGGAUAACCUACCUAUAAGACUGGGAUAACUUCGGGAAACCGGAGCUAAUACCGGAUAAUAUUUUGAACCGCAUGGUUCAAUAGUGAAAGACGGUCUUGCUGUCACUUAUAGAUGGAUCCGCGCUGCAUUAGCUAGUUGGUAAGGUAACGGCUUACCAAGGCAACGAUGCGUAGCCGACCUGAGAGGGUGAUCGGCCACACUGGAACUGAGACACGGUCCAGACUCCUACGGGAGGCAGCAGUAGGGAAUCUUCCGCAAUGGGCGAAAGCCUGACGGAGCAACGCCGCGUGAGUGAUGAAGGUCUUCGGAUCGUAAAACUCUGUUAUUAGGGAAGAACAUAUGUGUAAGUAACUGUGCACAUCUUGACGGUACCUAAUCAGAAAGCCACGGCUAACUACGUG